GUGGCAGCCGCCGCGGUAAUACGUAGGGUGCGAGCGUUAAUCGGAAUUACUGUGCGUAAAGCGUGCGCAGGCGGGUUGUUAAGAUAGGCGUGAAAUCCCCGGGCUCAACCUGGGAACUGCGUUUAUGACUGGCAGGCUAGAGUAUGGCAGAGGGGGGUGGAAUUCCACGUGUAGCAGUGAAAUGUGUAGAGAUGUGGAGGAACACCGAUGGCUAAGGCAGCCCCCUGGGCCAAUACUGACGCCCAUGCACGAAAGCGUGGGGAGCAAACAAGAUUAGAUAUCCUGGUAGUUCGCGCCCUAA
rnacentral:rRNA from 1 species